rnacentral:rRNA from 1 species
GUGCCAGCAGCCGCGGUAAUACGGAGGAUGCAAGCGUUAUCCGGAAUUAUUGGGCGUAAAGCGUCCGCAGGUGGUUGAACAAGUCUGCUGUUAAAGCGCGGAGCUUAACUCCGUAAGGGCGGUGGAAACUGUUUAACUAGAGUACGGUAGGGGUAGCGGGAAUUCCCGGUGUAGCGGUGAAAUGCGUAGAUAUCGGGAAGAACACCAGCGGCGAAAGCGCGCUACUGGGCCGUAACUGACACUCAUGGACGAAAGCUAGGGGAGCGAAAGGGAUUAGAUACCCCUGUAGUCC